GAAGGAGAGAGAGCAUGCCAGCCUCUUUACUCAGUUAUACCACACAAAGUAUCUUUGACUUCUGCAAAGUCAAACCCAAGCAGAUUAUAUCAGACACUAUUCACCUAAGAAAGUUCUUACGAACAUCUUGACACUCAUUGAAAGAUUAUUAUCCUCUAGAUGACUGAUGUUUCCUCUA